rnacentral:rRNA from 1 species
AUUCAGUUGGGCACUCUAGAGAGACUGCCGUCGACAAGACGGAGGAAGGCGGGGAUGACGUCAAAUCAUCAUGCCCCUUAUGACCUGGGCUACACACGUGCUACAAUGGUUGGUACAACGGGAUGCUACCUCGCGAGAGGACGCCAAUCUCUUAAAACCAAUCUCAGUUCGGAUUGUAGGCUGCAACUCGCCUACAUGAAGUCGGAAUCGCUAGUAAUCGCGGAUCAGCAUGCCGCGGUGAAUACGUUCCCGGGCCUUGUACACACCGCCCGUCACACCACGGGAGUUUGCAACACCCGAAGUCGGUGAGGUAACCGCAAGGAGCCAGCCGCCGAAGGUGGGGUAGAUGACUGGGGUGAAGUCGUAACAAGGUAUCCGUACCGGAAGGUGCGGAUGGAUCACCUCCUUUCUAUGGAGA